UCCGCUCCUACGGGCUUUGCAGGUGUGGCCACCGUGUCACAUGUGCAUCAGUAGGUGGCAGAGAGGAGAGAACCUAUGUCUACGCUCAGUGUUCUGACCUGUGACGAUCUGAAUGAUUAGUGGCCUAACAAU